rnacentral:rRNA from 1 species
GAUCGAAUCGUUGGGAGCUUGCUCCAAUGGUAAGCGGCGGACGGGUGAGUACACGUGGGCAAUCUGCCUGUAAGAUGGGAUACUUCGGGAAACCGGAGCUAAUACCGGAUAAUCCAUUUCCUCUCAUGAGGGAAUGCUGAAAGUCGGUUUCGGCUGACACUUACAGAUGGGCCCGCGGCGCAUAAGCUAGUUGGUGAGGUAACGGCUCAUCAAUGCGACGAUGCGUAUCCGACCUGAGAGGGUGAUCGGCCACUCUGGGACUGAGACACUGCCCAUACUCCUACGGGAGGCAGCAGUAUGGAAUCUUCCACAAUGGACGAAAUGUCUGAUGGAGCAUCGCCGCGUGAGCGAUGAAUGCCUUCGGGUCGUAAAGCUCUGUUGUUAUGGAAGAACAAGUACCGGAGUAACUGCCGGUACCUUGACGGUACCUAACCAGAAAGCCACGGCUAACUACGUGCCAUCAGCCGCGGUAAU